UGGGAACGCGAAGAACCUUACCUAGACUUGACAUCUCCUGAAUUACCCUUAAUCGGGGAAGCCCUUCGGGGCAGGAAGACAGGUGGUGCAUGGUUGCCGUCAGCUCGUGUCGUGAGAUGUUGGGUUAAGUCCCGCAACGAGCGCAACCCUUAUUGUUAGUUGCUACCAUUUAGUUGAGCACUCUAGCGAGACUGCCCGGGUUAACCGGGAGGAAGGUGGGGAUGACGUCAAAUCAUCAUGCCCCUUAUGUCUAGGGCUACACACGUGCUACAAUGGCUGGUACAGAGAGAUGCUAAACCGUGAGGUGGAGCCAAACUUUAAAACCAGUCUCAGUUCGGAUUGUAGGCUGAAACUCGCCUACAUGAAGCUGGAGUUGCUAGUAAUCGCGAAUCAGAAUGUCGCGGUGAAUACGUUCCCGGGUCUUGUACACACCG
rnacentral:rRNA from 1 species